UGUUGCAAUGAACAUCACACUCCCCUUGCUAUGUUUCGGAGCACCAUUUUUACUUGCAGAUGGAGUCUAUUGAGUACUUGGGUGUUCAGACUCCUGCUGAUCUCACUCCAUGUGUGAAACUUACCACUUUUCUAUGUCUUUCAGGCUCCUCCCUACUGUCUACUUCUACAUUUUAGAUUGCACCUGUAGUGUUUGCAGACAGGUAUAUAAUAGUGUUAUCCGAAUAAACAUACAUGACCAUAAGUCUGAUCAGCUGCUUUACUAAAAAGCAGGAAAGGAGGAGGGCGAAUAUAACUGACACAACAAGGUGAUACUAUGUGGAUAGGAGGUGCUCACGUGUAAGAAAAGCAGUCCAUAUGAAACAUACAAUAUCUAAGGCUACAGACGGAGAACUCACCUCUUCAGCACUUCAGCCAGGUGGAAGAGUAAAUUGAAACCAGUUUAAAGGCUAUCUGCAGCCGAAAACAACUUAUUCGCAGGAUAAGGGAUAAGAGUUUGAUCGUGGAUAGGGGAUAGGGGAUAAGGUGACAUUAGCUCAUAGGAGGAACAGGAAAAUAUGAUAGAACUUAAUUCUGCAACUGAAGAACCACAACAGAAUGAAUGACUUAAAGCCUACUGGAACUGAGAAACUUCAAAAUGGUCAAUUCCAACAGCCGGUGGUCAGUAUCCAUUUUGUGUAGCCCUGGCCAGGGAUCCUGCGGGUGGAACUACAAUUUUUUUUAUUUCUGGACCUGAGGAAGAUGCGAGUGUGCGCUGAAACGCGUUAUCCUGUUCUUACCUUUUGACUUCUUUUACCAAUAAAAGUUA